UACGGAGGGUGCGAGCGUUGUCCGGAAUCACUGGGCGUAAAGGGCGCGUAGGCGGUUGGGGGAGUCCGUGGUGAAAGCUCGUGGCUCAACUACGAGUCGGCCAUGGAUACUCCUUGACUUGAGCACUGUAGAGGCAGAUGGAAUUCCGGGUGUAGCGGUGGAAUGCGUAGAGAUCCGGAAGAACACCGGUGGCGAAGGCGGUCUGCUGGGCCUGCACUGACGCUCGUGCACGAAAGCGUGGGGAGCAAACAGG
rnacentral:rRNA from 1 species